UUAUUGGAGAGUUUGAUCCUGGCUCAGGAUGAACGCUGGCGGCGUGCCUAAUACAUGCAAGUCGAGCGAAUGGAUUGAGAGCUUGCUCUCAAGAAGUUAGCGGCGGACGGGUGAGUAACACGUGGGUAACCUGCCCAUAAGACUGGGAUAACUCCGGGAAACCGGGGCUA
rnacentral:rRNA from 1 species